rnacentral:lncRNA from 1 species
GUGAUUUUACCCCAGUUUGCACUGAUGUGAAUGUGUUUCCACAGUGUAUGACUAGUUAUAGUGAUUUUACCCGCUCUGCACUGUCGUGAAUGUGUUUCCAUAGUGUAUGACCAGAUUAUCAGAGAUCUUUGGGACCCACUCUCGUACACACAUAAGCUUUGGGCCGUGUACUAGGGUGAUUAGCCUUUGGAGCAGCUCUGCGUACGUAUGACCAGAUUAUCAGCUAUCAGAUUAUCAGAUUUGAAUGACUUUGCCUUGUACAUCGAGAUUACUCUGUACAUGAGUAAGGCUAUUCAUUGGGUACUUUUUUUGGUGUGAUUUUUUAGUAUUUAUUCAGUUAUCAGAUUUCAGAUUAUGAAAUUCAAUUAAUUUAGUUUUCAAAAUAAAGCUUUCAGCUUAUAGUAUUGAGCAGCAACAAUAUUUAAUAGAUUUUCAUUCUUUAUAUUUGUUAUACCUUACAGAUACUUAUCUAGAAUUUAUAACAAAGAAUUUUAUAAUGUAAUUAUGUUUAGUUUUUAAAAGUAUUAUUAGAUUCAGAAAUUCUCAAGGAUUUAAUAAAGUUAAAAUUUUUAGAAAAUAUGCAUAAAUGGAAAAAGUUUACUUAAUUGCAAAUCAUCCACUCACUGAGUUAAGAACUCAUAUUUUUGUCAUGUUUUUUCUAUCAGGAGACCGUUGAUUUUGAGAUACUCGGAAAAGCCUGCUGAAGCGAAAGAAACCGUUUCAUAGUAUGUAAUGAAUAGUUGGGGGACUCAUGUUUAUUAAGUACUUUGUCUAAUAUUUGGGGGUGUCAUGCACUUUGUAGAAGGGUUUGUAAUUGAUGUAAUGCUUGCAUGUAGACUUGAUGUUGUUGUAGAAGCACUCAGUCGAAUUUUGUUAUAUUUUGUUUUAGUUGUGAUGGUAUUAGUGGAAGUGGUGGUUUCCAAAACUUUUGGUUUGAAUGUCUAUUUGAGGUUUUGAUGAUUUUUCAGGUUGGUUUUGUCCAUUUUUAAGGGGAAACUCUGUCAAAAUUUUCAUAGAAAUAUAGCACGGUCAAAUAGGUCAAGUUUACCUUGGUGGUAGGUCCGGCAUUUAGCUGGCAUCUACCACCGGCGCACGAUAUGUGUCGAGUCAAUUAGGUUGAGUUGGGAUGGGUCAUGUCAAUUGGUAUCAGAGUUUGGUCUUAGAGUUUAUGAGUAACGUUGCAUGUAUUUGAUAUUUGUAUGUCACACAUUAUUGUAGGUAAGUCAUGCGUGGUAGAGGCAAAACUCGCAGGCACCAAAAUCCAGUAUCUCAAGCUCAUAAUACUCCUGAACAAAGACAUGUUGGAGGGGUCAGUAGGGCUGCUGAAUCAGUGCACCAGUCUCGGGUGCAACCUGACCCCAUCACCAAUAGAAUACCUACAGCUAUUGCUUCCCUUCGACCAAAUACCGAUAGAGAUAACUCUAAAGAGAGAGAGAAGAAACUUGGAGCAAAAUUUUUUAUGGGUACAUCUAAUCCAGCCGAUGCUGAACUUUGGAUGAAGACUUUGGAAAGCAUAUUUGAUGUGACAGAAUGCUUAGAGGAUAAAAAAUUACACAUUGCUGUAUUUUUUUAUUGAAGAGGAGAGCUGCUGAUUGGUGGAUUUCGUUUCGAAAUCGGUAUCCAGAUCCAAGUAUUAUCACCUGAACCAUUUUCAAGGAAGCUUUCUUUGAGACAUAUUAUCCACCAUUUUAUCGUGAUGCAAAACAAAAUGAAUUUUUAAAAUUGGUGCAGGGGUCUAUGUCUGUUGCUGAAUAUCAUGUAAAGUUUGUCGAACUGUCUAAGUAUGCAAGUGCUAUGGUAGCUGAAGAGAGAGAUAGGUGUAGACGGUUCGAGCAAGGGUUGAGAGCAGAGAUUCAGCCUAUGGUUACUGCUCAUGGGCAUCAAAAUUUUGGUUUGUUGGUUGAGGCGGCAUUGAGGGUUGAGAGCAGAGAUUCAGCCUAUGGUUACUGCUCAUGGGCAUCAAAAUUUUGGUUUGUUGGUUGAGGCGGCAUUGAGGGUUGAGAUAGCUAUUCGUGAAGAAAGUAAUCAAGGAGUACAGGUGACCUUUCGAGGUGGUAGUAGUCAAUCAGGAGCUUCAGGAGAAAAGUUCAAGAAGAACAGAAAAAGGAUUUUGGCCAAGUGUCACUAAAUUUGGCAAUUUUAAAUCUAAGUCUAGGAGUUCUAGCUCUAGUCAGGAAUCAAGACAUAGUCAGAGUUUUGGACAGCAGUCAAUGGGAAGACAUUCUUAUGUGCAGGGUCCUUCACAGAGAACUCAAGGAGCGAGGCAGAGUGAGGCUUCUGAUUAUCGGAGCUUUCUACAGUGUCGAUCUUGUGGGAAGUUUCAUCCAGGCAAGUGUCUUCGAGGGGUUGGAGUUUGUUAUCAGUGUUGUCAGAUGGGACACAUAAGGAAAGAUUGUCCAGCUAGAUCUCAGCAGAUUGGAGCAUCUCAGAUAGUAUCUCCUCAGCCAGGAAUCAGUAUGACUAGUCAGAACAUGGAUCAAAGAGCUCCAUCAGCAGGGUUGAUGGGGGCCACACAAUCUAAUGCUGAUAGGGGUAGUGCUUCUAGACAAGGAGCCCAGGCAGGUCGAUCCAGGACUUAGGGCAAGGUGUUUGCUAUGACACAGCAGGAGGCAGAAGAGUUACCAGAUGUGGUAGUGGGUAUGUUAUCUAUUUUUGGUAGAAAUGCUCGUUCUUUAAUUGAUUCAGGUGCUACGCAUUCCUUUAUUUCUCACACACUUGCUAGCUAUGCUAAUCAAAUGUCAGAGCCUUUAGAUAAUGAAUUGGUAGUAAUGACUCCAGUGUGGGACUCACUUUUAGCAAAUUGUGUAUAUAAAGAUUGUGGGAUUAGAGUGAACAAUCAUGAGUUGAAAGAAGAUUUAAUUCCUCUUGACAUUCAUGAUUUUGAUGUUAUUUUGGGGAUGGAUUUUCUAUCUAAUCAUCGUGCUUCAGUUGAUUGUUUUUGCAAGGAAGUGGUAUUUAAAAGCCCAGGAGAGCUUGAAAUUGUCCUCACUGGAGAGCGUAGAAUUUUGCCAUAUUGUGUAAUAUCUGUCCUGAAUGCUCGCAGAAAGCUCAAAAAGGGUUGUGAUGCAUAUUUGGCCCAUGUCAUUGAUACUUAGUUUACAAAGCGGGCAAUUGACGAUAUAUCAGUUGUGCGAGAUUUUCCCGAUGUCUUUCCAGAAGACCUUUCGGGAUUACCCCCAAACAAGGAGAUAGAAUUCAGUAUAGAUUUGAUUCCCGGGACAGCACCUAUUUCACAGGCACCUUAUCGAAUGGCUCCGAAAUAGUUGAAGGAAUUAAAGGUACAAUUACAAGAAUUGGUAGAUACAGGUUUCAUUAGAGCCAGUGCAUCCCCAUGGGGAGCACCUGUAUUAUUUGUGAAGAAGAAAGAUGGCACUAUGAGAUUAUGUAUUGACCACAGAUAGCUGAAUAAGAUGACUAUUCGCAAUAAGUAUUCUCUGCCCCGCAUUGAUGAUUUGUUUGAUCAACUUCGAGGUGCCUCAGUAUUUUCAAAGAUUGAUUUACGUUCGGGUUAUCAUCAGCUCAGAAUUAGAAAUGUUGAUGUACCAAAGACUGCUUUUCGAUCUCGGUAUGUUCAUUAUGAAUUUUUGGUGAUGCCAUUUUGAUUAACUAAUGCCCCAAUUGCAUUUAUGGAUUUGAUGAAUAGGGUGCUUCACCCAUAUUUAGAUAAAUUUGUGUUUGUUUUUAUUGACGAUAUAUUGGUUUAUUCUCACAGUCGUGAUGAGCAUGCUGAAUAUUUAAAGAUUAUCUUGCAAACUUUGCGAGAUAAGCAGUUGUACACUAAAUUUAGCAAAUGUGAAUUUUGGUUGGAUAAAGUUGUGUUUCUGGGUCAUGUCAUCUUAGAAGAAGGCAUUUAUAUAGAUCCUCAUAAAAUUGAGGUAGUUAUGAGAUGGGAACACUCUACUAAUGUUACAGAAGUACGGAGUUUCCUUGGGCUAGCAGGUUAUUAUCGUCGAUUUGUAGAGAAUUUCUCCAAAAUUGCUCUUCCUCUAACUAAUUUGACUCGAAAGAACACCAAAUUUGUGUGAAAUGAGGAAUGUGAGAAGAGUUUUCUAGAGUUGAAGAAAAGGUUGACUUCUGCUCCUAUACUUACUCUUCCAUCUCUGGGUAAAGAGUUUGUGAUUUAUAGUGAUGCUUCACGUCAAGGAUUGGGUUGUGUUCUAAUGCAAAAUGGGAAAGUUGUAGCUUAUGUUUCAAGACAAUUGAAGAAGUAUGAGUUAAAUUACUCAACUCAUGAUUUGGAGUUAGCUGCAAUAGUGUUGGCAUUGAAGAUUUGGAAGCAUUAUCUUUAUGGUGAGAAAUGUCAAAUAUUUACUGAUCACAAAAGUUUGAAGUAUAUUUUUGAUCAGAAAAAACUAAAUCUGAGGCAGAGAAGAUGGUUGGAUUUGGUUAAGGAUUAUGAUUGUAAGAUUGAUUACCAUCUAGGGAAAGCUAAUGUGGUCGCAAAUGCUCUCAGUAGAAAGACUAGUUCUUCCUCUUCAGCUAGUGCAAUUUAUGCUUCUUUGAUUUGUGAAUUCAAGAAAUUGCAUGCUCAUUUGUCAGCUACUACUUCAGGUGCUGUAUUAGCUCAUUUUCAUGUGAGGCCUACUUUGAUUGAUAAGGUUAGAGAAGCUCAAUCUCAAGACCAGACAUUGAGAAUAUUGAAAGCAGAAGUUAGUAUUGGGUUAAGAACGGAUUAUGUGAUUAGAGAUGAUGGGGCGCUGGCUAUGGGUAAUAAAUUAUGUGUUCCAAAUAUUCCAGAAUUAAAGAAAGAGAUUUUGGAAGAAGCCCACAGUUCUGCUUAUGUUAUGCAACCAGGCAGUAUUAAAAUGUAUCAUACAUUGAAAGAUCAUUAUUGGUGGCUUGGUAUGAAGAGAGAGAUAGCAGAUUUUGUAUCCAAAAGUCUUAUAUAUCAGCAGGUAAAGCCAGUUCGUCAGAAUACAGCAGGACUUUUAAAGCCAUUGCCUAUCCCAGAAUGAAAAUGGGAACACAUUACUAUGGACUUUUUAUUUGGCCUUCCUCGUACUCAGAAUGGUCAUGAUGGAGUUUAGGUUAUCGCAGAUUGUUUGACCAAGACGGCCAAAUUUUUGCCAAUCAAAGCUACUUAUACUUUAAAUAAGUUGGCAAAGUUGUAUGUGGAUGAGAUAGUGAGCUCUUAUGGUACUUCAUUAUCUAUUGUGUUAGAUAGAGACCCUCGUUUUACAUCUAAAUUUUAGCCCAGUUUACAGGAAGUCAUGGGUACUAGACUGCAUUUCAGUACAGUUUUUCAUCCUCAGACAGAUGGCCAGUCAGAGAGGACCAUACAGACUCUUGAGGAUAUGUUGAGGGCUUGUGUUUUAGAGCUCAAGGGUAGCUGGGAUACUCAUUUGUCAUUGAUGGAGUUUGCUUACAAUAACAGCUACCACUCUAGUAUAGAAAUGACUCCUUUUGAAGCUUCAUAUGGUCGGAAGUGCAGGACACCAGUUUGUUGGGAUGAAACUGGUAAGAGAAAGUUAGAAGGCCCUGAAUUGGUUCAAAUGACGUCCGAAAAUGUGAAAUUGAUUAAAGAAAAGUUGAAAGCAGUUCAGGAUAGACAGAAAAAUUAUGCAGAUAGGCGCAGGAAAGAUCUUGAAUUUGUAGUAGGAGACAAAGUUUUUCUUAAAUUAUCUCCUUGAAAAGGGGUGUUGAGAUUUGGCAAGCGAGGAAAUUUGAGUCCACGAUAUAUUGGACCCUAUGAGAUCAUUAAGCGGAUUGGUCCAGUUGCAUAUCGAUUAGAUCAACCCGAUGAAUUAUCCCGGAUCCAUGAUGUUUUUCAUGUUUCCAUGCUUCGCAAGUACAUUGCUCAUCCUUCCCAUGUUCUAGAGUCUCAGCCAAUUCAGUUGAAGGAGAAUUUGACUUAUAUAGAAGAGCUAGUGAGAAUCUUAGGCAAGAAAGUGCAAAUUCAACGAAACAAGACAGUUUCACUUGUUAAGGUACUUUGGCAGAAUCAGACAGUAGAAGAGGCUACAUGGGAGAAUGCGGAUCAGAUGCGUGCUCGAUAUCCUCAUUUAUUCAUUGCCUGGUCAGUUUCUAGUUAAAUUUUGAGGACGAAAUUAUUUUAAGGAGUUAAGAUUGUUACAACCCACAUUUUUAUCUAGUCAAAGUCAAUAGUGAAAUUUUCAAAGUCAAGUCAAUUAAGGACUAAAAUGAAAUUAAAUAUUUUAUUUGGGUUUAUUUUGUAACUGGCAAAAUAUGAAGGUUAAAUUGGAUACAUUUCAAAGUUUGGAAUUUAUUUAUAUACUUUUGGAAGUUAUAGGAUUAAAUGUCACUCAAAAAUGGAGUUGAAGGACUUAUUUGGGUUUGUGGACCAUUAAAUUCAACCAUUGACCCAUUUUUAUCUCAAAAACACACACACACACAGAGACAGUGAGAAAAACGGGCAGCAAGCUGGAGACCGAAAAAAAGAGAAAAAAUUAGGGAAAAAGGAAAGAAAAAAAAGAAAGAAGGAAGGAAAGAAGAAAAGGGAAGAAGAAGAAAAGAAGUAAGGCUAAUCUCUUCAAAUUUGGGUUGAAUUUUUUCAUUUGUUUCAAGUGAUAAAGUAUGAAUUAUGUUAAAAUUCUAGGGUUUUAUUUUGGCUCCAAAUUUUCCGAUUUUUUUUAAAUGAAUACUAUUUGGAGCUCAAGUUAUUGAUUCUUGAAUUUCUAUCUACAUUAAGGUAAGGAGAUGUCAAUUUUUUUGGAAAAACCCUAGAAUUCGAUUUUGGGAUUUUUGAUUAAUUAAUUGUGGAAAUGAUUAUAUAAAUGGAAUAUUUCACUUGGGAGUUGAUUUUAUGGAACAAAUGUAUAUGAAACGGGUGGAAUUGUGGUUACUAGUUUCACUAGAAUGGAGAGUAAAAUUAGUUUUAAACUUGGGAAGAAGGUGUUGUUAAUAAAUUAGUUAUUAGUCAAGGGAUUAUAAAGUGUGAUUAGCUCCAAUUAAUAAAGGAAAAUUUGAGAAUUUAUUCAGGUGUCAAGAGAAUUUAAAUUAAGUUCUAUCAUUAGAUAUUAAGGUUUCUUGAUUAGAUAGAGGAUAAAUUGGUUAUUAAUAUCGUAUUUCAGGUGGUGACGAGGAAAUUGGAAACGUUUAUAAGGCAAUCUAGCUUAUAGCUCCUACCUUGUGAGUGGAUAAAACUUAUUUUUCAGAAAUAAGUCUUCUUUAAAUUUUAAAGUUAUUUAUUUUAUAAAGUUGACUUCAUAGCAUGAUUUUCAGAAUAAAAUGGAUUUUAUUAUCAAUUUCUUUUAAAGUUAAUUUCAGCUCAGUUAAAUUAUUUUAGUAGCAUGUUAUAUUCUUAUUACAUGUUUCAGUAUAGUUAAAGUUAUUUCUAAAAAUCACAAGAAAGUACCCAAGUGAUUUUACCCCAGUUUGCACUUAUGUGAAUGUGUUUCCACAGUGUAUGACUAGUUAUAGUGAUUUUACCCGCUCUGCACUAUUGUGAAUGUGUUUCCAUAGUGUAUAACCAGAUUAUCAGAGGUCUUUGGGACCCACUCUCGUACACACAUAGGCUUUGGGCCGUGUACUAGGGUGAUUAGCUUUUGGGGGCAGCUAUGCGUACGUAUGACUAGAUUACCAAAUUAUCAACUAUCAGAUUAUCAAAUUUGAAUGGCUUUGCCUUGUACAUCGAGAUUACUCUGUACAUGAAUAAGGUUAUUCAUUGGGUACUCUUUUUGGUGUGAUUUUUCAGUAUUUAUUCAGUUCUCAGAUUUCAGAUUAUGGAAUUCAGUUAAUUCAGUUUUUAGAAUAAAGCUUUCAGCUUAUAGUAUUGAGCAGCAGCAAUAUUUAAUAGAUUUUCAUGAAUAUCAGAUUCUUUAUAUUUGUUAUACUUUACAAAUACUUAUCUAGAAUUUAGAACAAAAAAUUUUAUAAUGUAAUCAUGUUUAAUUUUUAAAAGUAUUAUUAGAUUCAG